rnacentral:tRNA from 1 species
GCACCCAUGGUCUAGUGGUAUGAUACGGGCUUCCCAAGCCUGUGUUUCGGGUUCGAUUCCCGAUGGGUGCA